rnacentral:rRNA from 1 species
AAUCAACGCUGGCGGCGUGCCUCAGACAUGCAAGUCGAGCGCGAAAGUUUCCUUCGGGAGAUGAGUAGAGUGGCGCACGGGUGAGUAACACGUGAGUAAUUUACCUUCGGGUGGGGAACACUAACCGGAAACGGUCGUUAAUACCGCAUAAUGCAGCGGCAUCAAUGAUGACAGUUGUUAAAGCGGGGGAUUGGAGCAAUCCGACCUCGCGCCUGAAGAGAAGCNCGCGGCAGAUUAGCUAGUUGGUAAGGUAAUGGCUUACCAAGGCGACGAUCUGUAACCGGCCUGAGAGGGCGGUCGGUCACACUGACACUGAAUAACGGGUCAGACUCCUACGGGAGGCAGCAGUCGGGAAUUUUGGGCAAUGGGCGCAAGCCUGACCCAGCAACGCGCGUGAAGGAUGAAGCUUUUCGGAGUGUAAACUUCACAAGAAUGGGAAGAAUAAGUUU